GUGAAUCAUCGAAUCUUUGAACGCAAAUUGCACUUCCUGGUAUUCCGGGGAGUAUGCCUGUUUGAGGGUCGUUAGAAGAAAAAUCGAAGAAUCGCUCUUUUUUUUGAGGGUGAUAGCGUCGGAAUUGAGCUGUCUUUCAACUGUUAACUCAUGUCAAAGUGGUGUAAAAUUCAUCCAUCGGGUAUGAUUAAUGCGUAUUUAAGAUCAGUUUUGAUUAUGUACGUUCGAUGACGGCUCAUCUCAUG
rnacentral:misc_RNA from 1 species